rnacentral:rRNA from 1 species
CCGGACUGACUGCUAUCGGAUUGGUACUAAGCCAUGCGUGUCGUUGUAGCAAUACAAGGCGGACGGCUCAGUAACACGUAGUCAACCUAACCUAUGGACGUGGAUAACCUCGGGAAACUGAGAAUAAACCGCGAUAGAUCAUAAUGCCUGGAAUGGCUUAUGGUUAAAAUAAUUUAUUGCCGUAGGAUGGGACUGCGGCCUAUCAGCUUGUUGGUGAGGUAAUGGCCCACCAAGGCUAUAACAGGUACGGGCUCUGAGAGGAGAAGCCCGGAGAUGGGUACUGAGACACGGACCCAGGCCCUAUGGGGCGCAGCAGGCGAGAAACCUUAGCAAUGUGCGAAAGCACGACUAGGUUAACCCGAGUGAUUUCUGUUGAAGAAAUCUUUUGUCAGUCGUAAAACCACAGACGAAUAAGGGGUGGGCAAGUCUGGUGUCAGCCGCCGCGGUAAUACCAGCACCUCGAGUGGUCAGGAGGUUUAUUGGGCCUAAAGCAUCCGUAGCCGGCUAUGCAAGUCUCCGGUUAAAUCCAACUGCUCAACAGAUGGGCUGCCGGAGAUACUACACAGCUAGGGAGCGGGAGAGGUAGACGGUAUUCUGUGGGUAGGGGUAAAAUCCACUGAUCCACAGAGGACCACCAGUGGCGAAGGCGGUCUACCAGAACGCGUUCGACGGUGAGGGAUGAAAGCUGGGGGAGCAAACCGGAUUAGAUACCCGGGUAGUCCCAGCUGUAAACGAUGCAAACUCGGUGAUGCAUUGACUUAUGGUCAAUGCAGUGCCGCAGGGAAGCCGUUAAGUUUGCCGCCUGGGAAGUACGGACGCAAGUCUGAAACUUAAAGGAAUUGGCGGGGGAGCACCACAAGGGGUGAACCCUGCGGUUCAAUGGAGUCAACGCCG